rnacentral:rRNA from 1 species
AUGAACGCUGGCGGCGUGCCUAAUACAUGCAAGUCGAGCGAACGGACGAGAAGCUUGCUUCUCUGAUGUUAGCGGCGGACGGGUGAGUAACACGUGGAUAACCUACCUAUAAGACUGGGGUAACUUCGGGAAACCGGAGCUAAUACCGGAUAAUAUUUUGAACCGCAUGGUUCAAAAGUGAAAGACGGUCUUGCUGUCACUUAUAGAUGGAUCCGCGCUGCAUUAGCUAGUUGGUAAGGUAACGGCUUACCAAGGCAACGAUGCAUAGCCGACCUGAGAGGGUGAUCGGCCACACUGGAACUGAGACACGGUCCAGACUCCUACGGGAGGCAGCAGUAGGGAAUCUUCCGCAAUGGGCGAAAGCCUGACGGAGCAACGCCGCGUGAGUGAUGAAGGUCUUCGGAUCGUAAAACUCUGUUAUUGGGAAGAACAUAUGUGUAAGUAACUGUGCACAUCUUGACGGUACCUAAUCAGAAAGCCACGGCUAACUACGUG